rnacentral:rRNA from 1 species
CCUACGGGAGGCAGCAGUGGGGAAUAUUGCACAAUGGGCGAAAGCCUGAUGCAGCAACGCCGCGUGAAGGAUGAAGGGUUUCGGCUCGUAAACUUCUAUCAACAGUGACGAAAGACAUGACGGUACCUGACUACGAAGCCCUGGCUAAAUACGUGUCCGCAGCCGCGGUAAUACGUAGGGGGCAAGCGUUCUCCGGAAUUACGGGGUGUAAAGGGUGGGUAGGCGGGAUGGUAAGCCAGAUGUGAAAGCCUUGGGCUUAACCAGAGUAUUGCAUUUGGAACUAUCAAGCUAGAGUACCGGAGAGGAAAGCGGAAUUCGUAGUGUAGCGGUGAAAUGCGUAGAUAUUAGGAAGAACACCGAUGGCGAAGGCGGCUUUCUGGACUGAAACUGACGCUGAGGCACGAAAGCGUGGGGAGCGAACAGGAUUAGAUACCCUUGUAGUC